CCUACGGGCGGCAGCAGUGGGGAAUAUUGGACAAUGGGGGCAACCCUGAUCCAGCCAUGCCGCGUGUGUGAAGAAGGCCCUCGGGUUGUAAAGCACUUUCAGUGAGGAAGAACGCCUGGUGGUUAAUACCCAUCAGGAAAGACAUCACUCACAGAAGAAGCACCGGCUAACUCCGUGCCAGCAGCCGCGGUAAUACGGAGGGUGCGAGCGUUAAUCGGAAUUACUGGGCGUAAAGCGCGCGUAGGUGGCUUGAUAAGCCGGUUGUGAAAGCCCCGGGCUCAACCUGGGAACGGCAUCCGGAACUGUCAAGCUAGAGUGCAGGAGAGGAAGGUAGAAUUCCCGGUGUGGCGGUGAAAUGCGUAGAGAUCGGGAGGAAUACCAGUGGCGAAGGCGGCCUUCUGGACUGACACUGACACUGAGGUGCGAAAGCGUGGGUAGCAAACAGGAUUAGAUACCCGGGUAGUC
rnacentral:rRNA from 1 species